rnacentral:tRNA from 1 species
GGGGCUGGAGCUCAGUGGUAGAGUGCUUGCCUAGCAUGCAUGAGGCACUGGGUUUGAUCCUCAGCACCA